rfam:Nitrospirae bacterium GWC2_57_9 gwc2_scaffold_3675, whole genome shotgun sequence.
UUGAAUCGACCACAUCCAGGCUAAGGGAAUCCCGUUAAAAUCGGGAGCGGACCCGCCGCUGUGAUCCUGUAGUUAAUCUCUGCCGAAGCAAGCCACUGACCUGAACAGGGUCGGGAAGGCGGACAGAGAGGGGAGAGCCAGAAGACCUGCUUGGAUGUUCUCGCACAG